UACGUAGGGUGCAAGCGUUAAUCGGAAUUACUGGGCGUAAAGCGUGCGCAGGCGGUUCUAUAAGACAGAUGUGAAAUCCCCGGGCUCAACCUGGGAACUGCUUCUGAUACUGGCGGACUUGAGGCCAGUAGGGGUCACUAGAACUGACGGUGGAGCGGUGAAAUGCGUAGAUAUCGUCAGGAAUGCCGGUGGUGAAGACGGGUGACUGGGCUGGUUCUGACACUGAGGCACGAAAGCGUGGGGAGCGAACGGG
rnacentral:rRNA from 1 species